GCGCCGAUGGGGUAGUGGUAACCUGGGUCGUUGCCAUGUCGAGAACAACAUACUCGACCCGCCGGGGGUUCGAUUCCCCCUCGGCGCA